CCCACCCAAUAAUAUAAAGAGAAAAAACUUCAAAUAUCACCCCUAUAAUUUCGCACUUUCAAUUUAGUACCUGUAGUUUUACUUUUUUAUUUUUAUUAUUCAUUCCACUAUUUUUUUUUUUCGUUAAAUCAAUAACAACGUUAAAACUAAAGAAUACUAAAGUGAAUAUUCGAUAAACCUAGGUGGGUAUCUGAAGUUUUUUAUAUAUAAUUUAACGAAAUAUUAACGGAGAAGCUGAGGAAAAGGGAAAAAUGAAAUCACAAGGUAUUAACUUGAUACACUAUAAACCACAAGAUACUAAAGUUAGAAAGUGCAAAACCACGGGGUGGUAUUUGAAGUUUACCCAUAUAAAAAUAAACACAAAAGAUUUAUAUUAAAUAUCCAUGCACCAAGUGCGUGGACCAAACCAAUAAAAAAUAAAGGCAAUAUCUCUUAACAUAUUCAUGAUGCUUUAAAGUAGUAAAAUGUUGUGUGUAUUCAAAUUUUUUAAAAAAUGUAUAUAAUUUAUCUGAAUUAUAGAUAAUUUUAAGUGAGAAUUUAUUUUAACUAUAUAUCAUGGAUUAUCCAAUCUUUUAAUUUAUUUGAUUUGAGUCAGCCAACGAUACUUUGACAUCAAAUUUAAAUGUGUUGUUCAUUAUAACGGAUUAAGUUGGUACACUUCAUAUAAUUCUCGUGACGAUAAAUUCAUUAAAGUAAGCAAUUAGUUUAAAUUUUGAAUUCAAAUAUUGUUGACCGUCUCAAAUCAAACAAAUUAAUAGAUUAGAUAGUAAAAUAAAAAAAUUUUAAAAAUUGAAUAGCCAAUUUAAAAUGAUGGAUAGUUCAUAUAAGUUUUGUACUUUUUUUAUCUAAAUGUUUUAAAGAAAAUUUAUUUAGGCUAAAAUAUAAAAAAUCUCUUUAUAAAUACCUACUUUUUAAUUUUUUUUCUUGAUUUUCAAAAACUUAUAUUUUAUCAAAAUUUCAAGUUGAUGCAUUUAACCUCUUCCAUUAGGGUUUGACUACUAUUUCGUUAAUUUCUUAUAAUUUAUACCAAAAAUAUCCUAAAAAAUAUAUUAAAAAUAAAUUUUUUCUUAUAGAAAAAAUAAGAAUAAUCUGGUCAUCUUUUUUUCUUUAUAACCACAGUAACCUGUUCAAAAUAUUUU
rnacentral:lncRNA from 1 species